UACGUAGGGGGCAAGCGUUGUCCGGAAUCAUUGGGCGUAAAGAGCGCGUAGGCGGCCCUGUAAGUCCGCUGUGAAAGUCAAGGGCUCAACCCUUGAAUGCCGGUGGAUACUGCAGGGCUAGAGUCCGGAAGAGGCAGGGGGAAUUUCCGGUGGAGCGGUGAAAUGCGUAGAGAUCGGAAAGAACACCAACGGCGAAAGCACUCUGCUGGGCCGACACUGACACUGAGAGACGAAAGCUAGGGGAGCGAAUGGG
rnacentral:rRNA from 1 species